GGAAUCCAGCAAGGAAAAUUAAAGUGCAGAAGGUUCCACCUGCAGAGGAAGGAGUUAAACCGACCCCCACCACCACAUCAGCGGUUAACAGCACAGACUCCAGAGCCAGCUCAGGUGGUCUUCUCCCAAGUCUGACGGGUCAAAAUGCCAGGAAGUCCCUUUCACCGCCGAACAAAAAGAGCAACAAAAGAGUGUGCUUUUGGAAGUACUGUUCUCAGAACUGACUGCCGUCCAGAACAACGCCGGCGUUCC